rnacentral:rRNA from 1 species
AUUGAACGCUGGCGGCAGGCCUAACACAUGCAAGUCGAGCGGUAGAGAGGUGCUUGCAUCUCUUGAGAGCGGCGGACGGGUGAGUAAUGCCUAGGAAUCUGCCUAGUGGUGGGGGAUAACGUUCGGAAACGGACGCUAAUACCGCAUACGUCCUACGGGAGAAAGCGGGGGGAUCUUCGGACCUCGCGCCAUUAGAUGAGCCUAGGUCGGAUUAGCUAGUUGGUGAGGUAAUGGCUCACCAAGGCGACGAUCCGUAACUGGUCUGAGAGGAUGAUCAGUCACACUGGAACUGAGACACGGUCCAGACUCCUACGGGAGCAGCAGUGGGGAA